UACGUAGGGUGCAAGCGUUCCUCGGAAUUACUGGGCGUAAAGCGUGCGCAGGCGGCUUUGCAAGACAGAUGUGAAAUCCCCGGGCUUAACCUGGGAACUGCAUUUGUGACUGCAAGGCUAGAGUACGGUAGAGGGGGAUGGAAUUCCGCGUGUAGCAGUGAAAUGCGUAGAUAUGCGGAGGAACACCGAUGGCGAAGGCAAUCCCCUGGACCUGUACUGACGCUCAUGCACGAAAGCGUGGGGAGCAAACAGG
rnacentral:rRNA from 1 species